rnacentral:rRNA from 1 species
CCUACGGGAGGCUGCAGUGGGGAAUAUUGGACAAUGGGGGGAACCCUGAUCCAGCCAUGCCGCGUGUGUGAAGAAGGCCCUCGGGUUGUAAAGCACUUUCAGUGAGGAAGAACGCCUGGUGGUUAAUACCCAUCAGGAAAGACAUCACUCACAGAAGAAGCACCGGCUAACUCCGUGCCAGCAGCCGCGGUAAUACGGAGGGUGCGAGCGUUAAUCGGAAUUACUGGGCGUAAAGCGCGCGUAGGUGGCUUGAUAAGCCGGUUGUGAAAGCCCCAGGCUCAACCUGGGAACGGCAUCCGGAACUGUCAAGCUAGAGUGCAGGAGAGGAAGGUAGAAUUCCCGGUGUAGCGGUGAAAUGCGUAGAGAUCGGGAGGAAUACCAGUGGCGAAGGCGGCCUUCUGGACUGACACUGACACUGAGGUGCGAAAGCGUGGGUAGCAAACAGGAUUAGAUACCCUUGUAGUC